GUUUGUCCUGUUGGAACACAAAGAGGAGGCGCUUUAGCACUGGUGCCACUCAUCCACCCGGAGCAAUUUAUGAUCCAAUCAAAGGAAAUCAAAUGAAGUUGAGAG